rnacentral:rRNA from 1 species
UGCUAUAAUGCAAGUCGAGCGAAUGGAUUAAGAGCUUGCUCUUAUGAAGUUAGCGGCGGACGGGUGAGUAACACGUGGGUAACCUGCCCAUAAGACUGGGAUAACUCCGGGAAACCGGGGCUAAUACCGGAUAACAUUUUGAACCGCAUGGUUCGAAAUUGAAAGGCGGCUUCGGCUGUCACUUAUGGAUGGACCCGCGUCGCAUUAGCUAGUUGGUGAGGUAACGGCUCACCAAGGCAACGAUGCGUAGCCGACCUGAGAGGGUGAUCGGCCACACUGGGACUGAGACACGGCCCAGACUCCUACGGGAGGCAGCAGUAGGGAAUCUUCCGCAAUGGACGAAAGUCUGACGGAGCAACGCCGCGUGAGUGAUGAAGGCUUUCGGGUCGUAAAACUCUGUUGUUAGGGAAGAACAAGUGCUAGUUGAAUAAGCUGGCACCUUGACGGUACCUAACCAGAAAGCCACGGCUAACUACGUGCCAGCAGCCGCGGUAAUACGUAGGUGGCAAGCGUUAUCCGGAAUUAUUGGGCGUAAAGCGCGCGCAGGUGGUUUCUUAAGUCUGAUGUGAAAGCCCACGGCUCAACCGUGGAGGGUCAUUGGAAACUGGGAGACUUGAGUGCAGAAGAGGAAAGUGGAAUUCCAUGUGUAGCGGUGAAAUGCGUAGAGAUAUGGAGGAACACCAGUGGCGAAGGCGACUUUCUGGUCUGUAACUGACACUGAGGCGCGAAAGCGUG